GUACUGCUGAGGAAUCCCAUAAUAAGACGAAACAGCUGUCCAAUAC
rnacentral:hammerhead_ribozyme from 1 species